rnacentral:misc_RNA from 1 species
GAGUGGUGUUUGGUUUGAUACGGGUGGUUGGCUCCCUGCUUGAGCAGGCACGGCCACGCGUACAUUCCUUUUCAGUUGUGCGGCAAGGCUUGUAUCGUCUUGAUCGUAUGAAAGACGGGUUUUUUGUGUUGCAUACCCGAUCAACGGCAUUGUUUUGAUCAAAAACGUACCUUUUUUGUCAGGCAUUGCACCCGCAAUGUCAGAUGAACCAUGUAGCAUCCUUUUUGAUCCAUAUAGUCGAUGAGCAUUCGUUGAUUGUUUGGCUUGUUGAGGGUGGCUUGGUGUCUUGGAUAUGGAAGCCAAAGUGGGCAUGGGUUCGUAUGAUCCUUUUGUUGCCCUCGUUGAGCGUUCUCGCUUUUCUUACACGACCGCCUUUCACGUAUGGCACGUCCCAGCGUGUUUGGCUACGUCGAAGAAGAAUGCUACCUGGUUGAUCCUGCCAGUAGUCAUAU